rnacentral:rRNA from 1 species
UGGGGAAUAUUGGACAAUGGGCGCAAGCCUGAUCCAGCCAUGCCGCGUGAGUGAUGAAGGCCUUAGGGUUGUAAAGCUCUUUUAGCGGGGAAGAUAAUGACGGUACCCGCAGAAAAAGCCCCGGCUAACUUCGUGCCAGCAGCCGCGGUAAUACGAAGGGGUCUAGCGUUGCUCGGAAUUACUGGGCGUAAAGCGCACGUAGGCGGACUCUUAAGUCGGUGGUGAAAUCCUGGAGCUCAACUCCAGAACUGCCUUCGAUACUGGGAGUCUUGAGUUCGGGAGAGGUGAGUGGAACUGCGAGUGUAGAGGUGAAAUUCGUAGAUAUUCGCAAGAACACCAGUGACGAAGGCGGCUCACUGGCCCGAUACUGACGCUGAGGUGCGAAAGCGUGGGGAGCAAACA